UAAAGAGCGUGUAGGCGGGUAGUUAAGUCAGAAGUGAAAUCCAAUAGCUCAACUAUUGAACUGCUUUUGAAACUGAUUACCUAGAAUAUGGGAGAGGUAGAUGGAAUUUCUGGUGUAGGGGUAAAAUCCGUAGAGAUCAGAAGGAAUACCGAUUGCGAAGGCGAUCUACUGGAACAUUAUUGACGCUGAGACGCGAAAGCGUGGGGAGCAAACAGGAUUAGACACCCUGGUAGUCCACGCCCUAAACGAUGUACACUAGUUGUUGUGAGGCUCGACCUUGCAGUAAUGCAGUUAACACAUUAAGUGUACCGCCUGGGGAGUACGGUCGCAAGAUUAAAACUCAAAGGAAUAGACGGGGACCCGCACAAGCGGUGGAGCAUGUGGUUUAAUUCGACGAUACACGAAGAACCUUACCUGGACUUGACAUAGUAAGAACUUUCUAGAGAUAGAUUGGUGUCUGCUUGCAGAAACUUAUAUACAGUGCUGCACGGCUGUCGUCAGCUCGUGUCGUGAGAUGUUGGGUUAAGUCCCGCAACGAGCGCAACCCUCGUCAUUAGUUGCUAACAGUUCGGCUGAGAACUCUAAUGAGACUGCCUACGCAAGUAGGAGGAAGGUGAGGACGACGUCAAGUCAUCAUGGCCCUUACGUCCAGGGCUACACACGUGCUACAAUGGGGUAUACAAAGAGCCGCAAUACGGUGACGUGGAGCAAAUCUCAAAAAUAUCUCCCAGUUCGGAUUGUAGUCUGCGACUCGACUACAUGAAGUUGGAAUCGCUAGUAAUCGUAGAUCAGCUAUG
rnacentral:rRNA from 1 species